rnacentral:rRNA from 1 species
AGCGAACGCUGGCGGCAGGCCUAACACAUGCAAGUCGAACGGACCCUUCGGGGUUAGUGGCGGACGGGGGAGGAACACGUGGGAACGUGCCCUUAGGGUCGGAAUAGCUCCUGGAAACGGGUGGUAAUGCCGAAUGUGCCCUUCGGGGGAAAGAUUUAUCGCCUUUAGUGCGGCCCGCGUCGGAUUAGAUAGUUGGUAAGGUAACGGCUCACCAAGGCGACGAUCAGUAGCUGGUCUGAGAGGCUGACCAGCCACACUGGGACUGAGACACGGCCCAGACUCCUACGGGAGGCAGCAGUGGGGGAUCUUGCGCAAUGGGCGAAAGCAUGACGCAGCCAUGCCGCGUGAAUGAUGUAGGUAUUAGGAUUGUAAUAUUCUUUCAACGGGGCCGAUAAUGACGGUACCCGGAGAAGAAGCCCCGGCUAACUUCGUG